GAACAUUUCAUCGGGGCUAGUUUACAGUUUCAGAGGAUCAGUCCAUUGUCAUGACCUGAAUCCAGCAUACUCACCGUUUGUAUUUGGAGGAACACGUGGCUGGAACGGAUUCUGGAAUCAUCCUUUGAUACCUAAAAUGGGUGUGCAAGUUGACAGUGGACAAGAAGGCGUCUGGGAUUGAUGGAUCAGAUGAUGGGUCUGUGAAGACAAUGAAGCCAGGAAUUCCCAGUGAGCCCAGCCAGCCAUGCCUGAUCCAUCAAGGGAGGCACAACAUGCAAACCAAUAAAGAUCUUUCUACACAAUUGAAAGAGAAGAAGGAAUCACAGGAGAACGCCGUGUGCACAGGUCGGCCCUUCCCGAGAUCUGAGUUUGGUGACUGGGAUCUCUCCGGAUCUAGAAAUAAGCCACCUGGUUGUGGCCUACCAGACUGUUGUGUGAGUCUCAGGUCCUGUAACAAGAAGAGAAUACGCACACGGGAGCGCUUGGAUGUGCACAAAGGCAAGUGCUGCUCCAUAGAGAGAAAUGCAGUCAUUAGAAUGAACGCCCUUGGCUUGUUUAAUGUUUAAUAUGUACAGCUUUUAGGUAUGAUCUCUAUAGCCUGUUCACAUAUGAUCUUGACUCUCAAUCACCAUCCAGAUUCAAAAGGAACUGGAAGUUUGAAAAAUAGCUUUUAAUAACAAAGUUUACAAAAAGCUCUCAAGGUUGGAACACAUCACUAACAUGUGCUCAGAGACCAAAGAGAUCGAAUGGCUUGACUCUGCUGAGAGAGAGACUUGGCCAGUGUGCUUCUAAGAGGCAGAGAGGAGGAGGCCCACCCUCGGGGAGGACAUAUUUGCUUACAUGAAUCCAGCCUAUAGUGAGCAGCCCCAGUUCCUCCUGAAUCAUAAACAGCUCUCCUCAUUCUUCGUGUGACAAUAAUCAGGGCCUCUGUCUUGCUCUGGGAUAAUCACAUGUCUUAUGAGGUACACUUCUCUCACCUGCCAUGAGAAAACUUGUCACAAUUUCCUGGGGGCCAUAAUGACCCACAGUGGACAGAAAUUUUCUUCUCCAAGUCGGGCCAGGGCUGACUGGGAGCUGUGACUGUGGACUUUGCUCUCAGCUUGAGUGGAUGGAGUGAUAUUUCUGGAUUUGACUGUGAAGUGAUUCUGAAGAAACUUAUGUGUGGUUCACAGACUCGGUAGGCAAGGCCCACCCUUCACUCAGGCAGCAAUGUGAAGCCAUCUGAGAGCCGCACUGGGAGAAGCAGUGUGGAGCAGACACUUCCUCUGCGUCUCCUGGGAUAGACAUGCUUGCUUUAGCUUUCUUCAUCAGAUAUCCAAGUCUG
ensembl:lncRNA